rnacentral:rRNA from 1 species
UACGGAGGGGGCUAGCGUUGUUCGGAAUUACUGGGCGUAAAGCGCACGUAGGCGGCUUUGUAAGUUAGAGGUGAAAGCCCGGGGCUCAACUCCGGAAUUGCCUUUAAGACUGCAUCGCUAGAAUUGUGGAGAGGUAAGUGGAAUUCCGAGUGUAGAGGUGAAAUUCGCAGAUAUCAGGAGGAACACCGGUGGCGAAGGCGGGUCUCUGGGCCGAUACUGACGCUGAGGAGCGAAAGCGUGGGGAGCGAACAGG